GUGCCAGCCGCCGCGGUAAUACGAAGGGUGCAAGCGUUAGUCGGAAUUACUGGGCGUAAAGCGUGCGUAGGCGGUUUUCUAAGUCUGCCGUGAAAGCCCCGGGCUCAACCUGGGAAUGGCGGUGGAUACUGGAAAGCUGGAGUGCGGUAGAGGAGGGUGGAAUUCCCGGUGUAGCGGUGAAAUGCGUAGAGAUCGGGAGGAACAUCAGUGGCGAAGGCGGCCCUCUGGACCAGCACUGACGCUGAGGCACGAAAGCGUGGGGAGCAAACAGGAUUAGAUACCCUCGUAGUCC
rnacentral:rRNA from 1 species